GACGAACGCUGGCGGCGUGCUUAACACAUGCAAGUCGAGCGGUAAGGCCCUUUCGGGGGUACACGAGCGGCGAACGGGCGAGUAACACGUGGGUGACCUGCCCUCAGCUCUGGGAUAAGCCUGGGAAACCGGGUCUAAUACUGGAUAUGACUCCAUGACGCAUGUUGUGGGGUGGAAAGCCUUGUGCGGCUGAGGAUGGGCCCGCGGCCUAUCAGCUUGUUGGUGGGGUGAGGCCUACCAAGGCGACGACGGGUAGCCGGCCUGAGAGGGCGACCGGCCACACUGGGACUGAGACACGGCCCAGACUCCGUACGGGGGGCGAGCAGUGGGGAAGUCUUGCGCAAUGGGCGAAAGCCUGACGCAGCGACGCCGCGUGAGGGAUG
rnacentral:rRNA from 1 species